GAGAGAAAAGGGGGAGGUCGAGGGGGAGGGGGGAUCACAGAACGGGAAGGAGAGGAGAGGGGAAGGGAGAGGCGCUGCCGGUGGUGACCACGCCACUGCCGCCGCUGACCUUGAGGGGAAAACGAGAGUGAGAGAGAGACAUGCACAGAACGCGCGACGUGAGCAAGAGAAGGAGCUCAUCUUUGUUGCCGCCGUCACCGCGCCUUGCCGUUGCUGUGGUUGAUGGAAGCCGCCGCUAUCACUGGAAGGAACCAAACAGAGAGUAGAUCACUGUUGAUGUUGCCGCAGAGAGGAAGGAAGGGACGCGUGUGAGAAAGUUAUGCAACAGAGGAGGAGCCGUUCCUCUGCCGCCGCCGCCUCCGGAAUUCCUGGUCGCCACCGUCAUUCAUGACUUGUUUUCAAAGCAGACAACCUUGGUUGGGAAAAAUUGUCAAUUGCAGUGCCUUCUGCUAUGGCUUUGACAGCUGAUCCUAUUGCUUCACUAGUUGACACAACAUUCAUUGGCCGAAUAGGAAAAUCAUUAUGAGGGUGAGGGAGAACUUCAUCACACAUUGAGAAGAUCGAACACAAGAGAGUAAAAAUUACCAAUUUGUGGAGAUGAUGGGGAGUCUAUUUGCUAUUGUAAUAUAUCAAAUCUUUUGUUUAUGAUUAGAUAUUGUUAUGACUUAAACUUUUAUUAUGUGAUUUUAAAGUAUCCUAGCUUAUUUGACUUCUAAAAGCUAUGUUUUUUUAGGUCACAAACAUUCAUUAAUCUUAUAGUGUAC